CCGGGAUUGCCUUAGUAACGGCGAGUGAAGCGGCAAAAGCUCAAAUUUGAAAUCUGGUACCUUCGGUGCCCGAGUUGUAAUUUGGAGAGGGCAACUUUGGGGCCGUUCCUUGUCUAUGUUCCUUGGAACAGGACGUCAUAGAGGGUGAGAAUCCCGUGUGGCGAGGAGUGCGGUUCUUUGUAAAGUGCCUUCGAAGAGUCGAGUUGUUUGGGAAUGCAGCUCUAAGUGGGUGGUAAAUUCCAUCUAAAGCUAAAUAUUGGCGAGAGACCGAUAGCGAACAAGUACAGUGAUGGAAAGAUGAAAAGAACUUUGAAAAGAGAGUGAAAAAGUACGUGAAAUUGUUGAAAGGGAAGGGCAUUUGAUCAGACAUGGUGUUUUGUGCCCUCUGCUCCUUGUGGGUAGGGGAAUCUCGCAUUUCACUGGGCCAGCAUCAGUUUUGGUGGCAGGAUAAAUCCAUAGGAAUGUAGCUUGCCUCGGUAAGUAUUAUAGCCUGUGGGAAUACUGCCAGCUGGGACUGAGGACUGCGACGUAAGUCAAGGAUGCUGGCAUAAUGGUUAUAUGCCGCCCGUCUUGAAACACGGACCUCCUGUGUGAAUGGAUCCGCUAAACUA
rnacentral:rRNA from 1 species